UACGUAGGUGACAAGCGUUGUCCGGAUUUAUUGGGCGUAAAGCGAGCGCAGGCGGUCUUUUAAGUCUGAUGUGAAAGCCCACGGCUCAACCGUGGAGGGUCAUUGGAAACUGGGAGACUUGAGUACAGAAGAGGGGGGUAGAAUUCCAGGUGUAGCGGUGAAAUGCGUAGAUAUAUGGAGGAACACCAGUGGCGAAGGCGACUUUCUGGUCUGUAAUUGACGCUGAGGCUCGAAAGCGUGGGGAGCGAACAGG
rnacentral:misc_RNA from 1 species